AUACGGAGGAUGCGAGCGUUAUCCGGAUUUAUUGGGUUUAAAGGGUGCGUAGGCGGAUCGGUAAGUCGGCGGUGAAAUACCAUGGCUCAACUAUGGAAUUGCCGUUGAUACUGUCGGUCUUGAAUAUGGUCAAGGUAGGCGGAAUGUGUAAUGUAGCGGUGAAAUGCUUAGAUAUUACACAGAACACCGAUUGCGAAGGCAGCUUGCUGGGCCAGAAUUGACGCUGAGGCACGAAAGCGUGGGGAUCGAACAGGAUUAGAUACCCUGGUAGUCCACGCCGUAAACGAUGAUCACUCGCUGUUGGCGACAGACAGUCAGCGGCUAAGCGAAAGCAUUAAGUGAUCCACCUGGGGAGUACGGCCGCAAGGCUGAA
rnacentral:rRNA from 1 species